CCUACGGGAGGCAGCAGUGGGGGAUAUUGCACAAUGGGGGAAACCCUGAUGCAGCGACGCCGCGUGAGGGAUGAAGGAUUUCGGGAUGGAAAGCUCUAGCAGCAGGGAAGAAGAUGACGGUACCUGACGAAGAAGGCCCGGGCAACUACGGGCCAGGAGCCGCGGGAAUACGGAGGGGGCACGCGGUAGCCGGAUUUACUGGGGGGAAAGGGGGCGGAGACGGGGAGGGAAGCCAGUUGGGAAAGCCCGGGGCUCCACCCCGGGACUGCAGUUGGAACUGUGUGGCUGGAGUGUCGGAGAGGCAGGCGGAAUUCCUAGUGUAGCGGUGAACUGCGUAGAUAUUAGGAGGAACACCAGUGGCGACGGCGGCCUGCUGGACGAUGCCUGACGUUGAGGCUCGAAAGCGUGGGGAGCAAACAGGAUUAGAUACCCGAGUAGUC
rnacentral:rRNA from 1 species